rnacentral:lncRNA from 1 species
AUCUUAUCACAUCUCUAAUAAGCACACCCACAAAAACUAAAGGAAANGNAAAAAUAUUGCUUACAUAAAUAAAAUAAUGUAAAAAGAACAAAUUAAAGACGAAAAACUAAAAGGGGCAAAUAAACAAUAUACAUUAAGUAAAAUUAAGUCAUCUAAAUAUAUGAAUUAUAAGAAAAAAUAGAUGCCUUCCAGCGACCAUACUUAUCCUUUUGGGUGAAGAUACUCAAGUGAAGCAUAAUAUUGUAUUACAAGACGCUUUUACAAGUACCUUCUUCCAUGUUUGCUCCUCCAUAGAUGCAUCAACAAUGACAACACCCAUCACACCCCCUUAGCAGCGAAACUUAAAUGACAUAUGAUCACAACAAUUGUCGAUGAACAAUUGCUUAUCCAUAUUAUGGAUGCCUUCUCAUAUCACUAAAAAAAUAGAACCACCGGUCAAAACCAGAAAAUGUAAAUCUCAAUUUUUUGGAAUAGUUAUAAGAUGAUGAUUGGAAAUUUGUGGAACAUAAGACCUCUGUAACAGAACAAACUUAUAAAAUAGUAAGGAAAUUUAGUUUAUCGGGUCCUCUUUCGAUUUGGCUGCCGCAAAAUGACUCACAUGCAUUCUAAUAGAAAGCUUGAAGAAUUGGGAAAGAAAAGAUAAAUUGAAAUGUAGUUGGGAACUCUUGGAACCAAAUGGCAAAAGACAAACAGCUACGACUGCACCUAAAUUAGAACUCAUUUUCUUAUAGUACUAAAAGUUAGAAAUAGGGACCACUAUGAGGAAUAUGAAUGGAAUGAUCAGUUACAAUAAGGAGGAAUGUGAAAGGCUGGAAUAGUAACUGUUGAGACAUUUUUUACAAUGUUUUUUACAAUAAAGAAUAGAAAAGAGAGGAGUAGUAAUGAUUGAAUAAGAUAAAUAGAAAGUAAUAAGAAAAAAAGGAGAAAAAAGAUAAAUAGGAUCCUUGGUCAAGGAGAAGUGCCAACUCAUCUUUUAUUGUCCCAACUUUAUAUAGAUAUAUAAAUAUAAAUAUAGAUAUAAAUAUUUGGACUCUCGUAUAUCAGUUCAAGCAAAUAUUUGCAAUUUGAAGUUGAUCAAGAUUGUCAUAGAUACUCGUACUGAUUCUAUCACCGAAACUGGAUGAAAGUUCAUGAGAAUUUUGGUUAGCUUUAUAAAUUUGGCUAGUCAAUUUGUCCGUGCUUCAUAUGGUCUUUAAAAAAUAAAUAUGAACAAAAUUUAUUGUUAAAAUCUUUAUAAUUAAAAAAAAUACUUACUCUUUGUUCAAUAUUAUCUUCUCUAUAGUCUUCAAUCAUAUGCCAUAACUGUGAUCAAAUUAUAUUUUCAAGGUUGAUUGCUUUUUUCUACCAUCUUCAAGACUAGCUUUCUCUAUUUUUUUAUACACAUUAUUGAGCUAAUUUGAAGGUUUAAAUUAGAGGACUAAAUCUUAUUUUAUUGAUGAAAAUAAAAUUAAAUAAUUAAUUGAGAUAAUGUACCUAAAUGAACAUUAAAUGUCGACAUUGAUACCUUGUUGUCGACAUUCCCUACUUCCAGAUUGCUUGGAAUCGGUUGCGAGGUGCAUAGGUAAUAGGUUAUCGAGAUUGCCUGAAAAACCAAUGACUCAAACCUUGUCACUCUCCUUUUUCCGUGAUAUUCUUUCCUUUUUAUAUACAUCAGACGUUACUCUACACUAUAUAAC